AUGUCAUGAUGUGGACACUUCCUAAGCAAUUUAUUAAAGCGUUCCCAUGCCUCAUGAAAUGUUUCUCCAUCCCCAUGUGAAAAUUCUCAAAUUGAGGUUCUCAUGGU